CCUACGGGCGGCAGCAGUGGGGAAUAUUGGACAAUGGGGGCAACCCUGAUCCAGCCAUGCCGCGUGUGAGAAGAAGGCCCUCGGGUUGUAAAGCACUUUCAGUGAGGAAGAACGCCUGGUGGUUAAUACCCAUCAGGAAAGACAUCACUCACAGAAGAAGCACCGGCUAACUCCGUGCCAGCAGCCGCGGUAAUACGGAGGGUGCGAGCGUUAAUCGGAAUUACUGGGCGUAAAGCGCGCGUAGGUGGCUUGAUAAGCCGGUUGUGAAAGCCCCGGGCUCAACCUGGGAACGGCAUCCGGAACUGUCAAGCUAGAGUGCAGGAGAGGAAGGUAGAAUUCCCGGUGUAGCGGUGAAAUGCGUAGAGAUCGGGAGGAAUACCAGUGGCGAAGGCGGCCUUCUGGACUGACACUGACACUGAGGUGCGAAAGCGUGGGUAGCAAACAGGAUUAGAUACCCUAGUAGUC
rnacentral:rRNA from 1 species